UUGAAGAGUUUGAUCAUGGCUCAGAUUGAACGCUGGCGGCAGGCCUAACACAUGCAAGUCGAACGGUAACAGGAAGCAGCUUGCUGCUUUGCUGACGAGUGGCGGACGGGUGAGUAAUGUCUGGGAAACUGCCCGAUGGAGGGGGAUAACUACUGGAAACGGUAGCUAAUACCGCAUAACGUCGCAAGACCAAAGAGGGGGACCUUAGGGCCUCUUGCCAUCGGAUGUGCCCAGAUGGGAUUAGCUAGUAGGUGGGGUAACGGCUCACCUAGGCGACGAUCCCUAGCUGGUCUGAGAGGAUGACCAGCCACACUGGAACUGAGACACGGUCCAGACUCCUACGGGAGGCAGCAGUGGGGAAUAUUGCACAAUGGGCGCAAGCCUGAUGCAGCCAUGCCGCGUGUAUGAAGAAGGCCUUCGGGUUGUAAAGUACUUUCAGCGGGGAGGAAGGGAGUAAAGUUAAUACCUUUGCUCAUUGACGUUACCCGCAGAAGAAGCACCGGCUAACUCCGUGCCAGCAGCCGCGGUAAUACGGAGGGUGCAAGCGUUAAUCGGAAUUACUGGGCGUAAAGCGCACGCAGGCGGUUUGUUAAGUCAGAUGUGAAAUCCCCGGGCUCAACCUGGGAACUGCAUCUGAUACUGGCAAGCUUGAGUCUCGUAGAGGGGGGUAGAAUUCCAGGUGUAGCGGUGAAAUGCGUAGAGAUCUGGAGGAAUACCGGUGGCGAAGGCGGCCCCCUGGACGAAGACUGACGCUCAGGUGCGAAAGCGUGGGGAGCAAACAGGAUUAGAUACCCUGGUAGUCCACGCCGUAAACGAUGUCGACUUGGAGGUUGUGCCCUUGAGGCGUGGCUUCCGGAGCUAACGCGUUAAGUCGACCGCCUGGGGAGUACGGCCGCAAGGUUAAAACUCAAAUGAAUUGACGGGGGCCCGCACAAGCGGUGGAGCAUGUGGUUUAAUUCGAUGCAACGCGAAGAACCUUACCUGGUCUUGACAUCCACGGAAGUUUUCAGAGAUGAGAAUGUGCCUUCGGGAACCGUGAGACAGGUGCUGCAUGGCUGUCGUCAGCUCGUGUUGUGAAAUGUUGGGUUAAGUCCCGCAACGAGCGCAACCCUUAUCCUUUGUUGCCAGCGGUCCGGCCGGGAACUCAAAGGAGACUGCCAGUGAUAAACUGGAGGAAGGUGGGGAUGACGUCAAGUCAUCAUGGCCCUUACGACCAGGGCUACACACGUGCUACAAUGGCGCAUACAAAGAGAAGCGACCUCGCGAGAGCAAGCGGACCUCAUAAAGUGCGUCGUAGUCCGGAUUGGAGUCUGCAACUCGACUCCAUGAAGUCGGAAUCGCUAGUAAUCGUGGAUCAGAAUGCCACGGUGAAUACGUUCCCGGGCCUUGUACACACCGCCCGUCACACCAUGGGAGUGGGUUGCAAAAGAAGUAGGUAGCUUAACCUUCGGGAGGGCGCUUACCACUUUGUGAUUCAUGACUGGGGUGAAGUCGUAACAAGGUAACCGUAGGGGAACCUGCGGUUGGAUCACCUCCUU
rnacentral:rRNA from 1 species